CUAACUCUCAAAGUGUUCUAUCUUCUGCUAUCUAUUCACUGCACAAAUCUCAAGCACUCCAUCCUUUAUCAUAUAUCCACUUGUAUGUAUCUCAAAGCACUCCAUCCUCCAUCAUUCAUCUACGAUAUAAAUUUGAGAGUCUUUUAUUGUUUAUCAUCUAUCUACUUGCAUAGAUUUCAAAAUAUUCUAUCCCUUAUUAUUUAUCCACUUG
rnacentral:lncRNA from 1 species